UACAGAGGGGGCAAGCGUUGUCCGGAUUUACUGGGCGUAAAGGGCGCGUAGGCGGCCUUCUAAGUCGAACGUGAAAUCCCCGGGCUCAACCCGGGAACUGCGUCCGAUACUGGAAGGCUUGAAUCCGGGAGAGGGAUGCGGAAUUCCAGGUGUAGCGGUGAAAUGCGUAGAUAUCUGGAGGAACACCGGUGGCGAAGGCGGCAUCCUGGACCGGCAUUGACGCUGAGGCGCGAAAGCCAGGGGAGCAAACGGG
rnacentral:rRNA from 1 species